UACGUAGGGUCCAAGCGUUAUCCGGAAUCACUGGGCGUAAAGCGUGCGUAGGUGGCGUGUUAAGUGUGAUGUUAAAUCGCGGGGCUCAACCCUGUCGGUGCAUCGCAUACUGGCAUGCUAGAGGGAAGCAGAGGCAAGUGGAAUUUGUAGUGUAGCAGUGAAAUGCGUAGAUAUUACAAGGAACACCAAUGGCGAAGGCAGCUUACUGGGCUUCUUCUGACACUGAGGUACGAAAGCGUGGGGAGCGAACAGG
rnacentral:rRNA from 1 species